rfam:Brassica napus, WGS project CCCW01000000 data, contig: 17879
GGAAGUUAAGAAAUUGUUUCUUAACUUUUAACUAAAAAACUAAGAACUAGUUCUUAAAUAAGGACUUUAAGAACUGGUUUUUAGUUUUUUAAUUAAAAGUUAAGAAACUGUUUCUUAACUUCC